CGAGAAACGAACUUAACAGAUAUUUAUUUGCAUUUAAAAUAGGAUGGGAUAUAUAUUAGCAUUUAUAUAGGAUGGGGGUCGAGCUUCGUAAGAGAGAAACAAAAUCCAUUUUAGUUCCUUUGUCAGUGUCCACUGAGAAAUGUUCUGCGCAUGUUGGAGGUCUACAGCAGUACCGACUUCUGACAGGCAACAAGAAUCAUCAUAGGGAUGUUUAGGCCUUCGAAUGUGACUGUGAGUUUUCCUAUUUCAGACCUCGAGUCCUACCAAACAGAACAACAGAAAGGGAUUAACUCAACACUUCUCAUAUUUAUUAUGACACGUUGACUGUGUUCUCAAAUGGUAUGCAUUGAACUUACG